rnacentral:rRNA from 1 species
CUCCUACGGGAGGCAGCAGUGGGGAAUAUUGCACAAUGGGGGAAACCCUGAUGCAGCAACGCCGCGUGAAGGAUGACGGUUUUCGGAUUGUAAACUUCUUUUCUUAGUGACGAAGACAGUGACGGUAGCUAAGGAAUAAGCAUCGGCUAACUACGUGCCAGCAGCCGCGGUAAUACGUAGGAUGCAAGCGUUAUCCGGAUUUACUGGGUGUAAAGGGAGCGCAGGCGGGACUGCAAGUUGGAUGUGAAAUACCGUGGCUUAACCACGGAACUGCAUCCAAAACUGUAGUUCUUGAGUGAAGUAGAGGCAAGCGGAAUUCCGAGUGUAGCGGUGAAAUGCGUAGAUAUUCGGAGGAACACCAGUGGCGAAGGCGGCUUGCUGGGCUUUAACUGACGCUGAGGCUCGAAAGUGUGGGGAGCAAACAGGAUUAGAUACCCUGGUAGUCCACACUGUAAACGAUGAUAGCUAGGUGUGGGGGGUCUGACCCCUUCCGUGCCGGAGUUAACGCAAUAAGCUAUCCACCUGGGGAGUACGACCGCAAGGUUGAAACUCAAAGGAAUUGACGGGGGCCCGCACAAGCAGUGGAUUAUGUGGUUUAAUUCGAAGCAACGCGAAGAACCUUACCAGGUCUUGACAUCCGACUAACGAGAUAGAGAUAUGUCAGGUGCCCUUCGGGGAAAGUCGAGACAGGUGGUGCAUGGUUGUCGUCAGCUCGUGUCGUGAGAUGUUGGGUUAAGUCCCGCAACGAGCGCAACCCCUGCCAUUAGUUGCUACGCAAGAGCACUCUAAUGGGACCGCUACCGACAAGGUGGAGGAAGGUGGGGACGACGUCAAAUCAUCAUGCCCCUUAUGACCUGGGCUACACACGUAAUACAAUGGCCGUUAACAGAGGGAAGCAAAGCGGUGACGCAGAGCAAAACCCUAAAAACGGUCCCAGUUCGGACUGUAGGCUGCAACCCGCCUACACGAAGUUGGAAUUGCUAGUAAUCGCGGAUCAGCAUGCCGCGGUGAAUACGUUCCCGGGCCUUGUACACACCGC